GGCGGGACACGUGGUAUCCUGUCUGAAUAUGGGGGGACCAUCCUCCAAGGCUAAAUACUCCUGACUGACCGAUAGUGAACCAGUACCGUGAGGGAAAGGCGAAAAGAACCCCGGCGAGGGGAGUGAAAAAGAACCUGAAACCGUGUACGUACAAGCAGUGGGAGCACCCUUUGGGGUGUGACUGCGUACCUUUUGUAUAAUGGGUCAGCGACUUAUAUUCUGUAGCAAGGUUAACCGUAUAGGGGAGCCGGAGGGAAACCGAGUCUUAACCGGGCGUUAAGUUGCAGGGUAUAGACCCGAAACCCGGUGAUCUAGCCAUGGGCAGGUUGAAGGUUGGGUAACACUAACUGGAGGACCGAACCGACUAAUGUUGAAAAAUUAGCGGAUGACCUGUGGCUGGGGGUGAAAGGCCAAUCAAACCGGGAGAUAGCUGGUUCUCCCCGAAAGCUAUUUAGGUAGCGCCUCGUGAAUUCAUCUCCGGGGGUAGAGCACUGUUUCGGCUAGGGGGCCAUCCCGGCUUACCAACCCGAUGCAAACUGCGAAUACCGGAGAAUGUUAUCACGGGAGACACACGGCGGGUGCUAACGUCCGUCGUGAAGAGGGAAACAACCCAGACCGCCAGCUAAGGUCCCAAAGUCAUGGUUAAGUGGGAAACGAUGUGGGAAGGCCCAGACAGCCAGGAUGUUGGCUUAGAAGCAGCCAUCAUUUAAAGAAAGCGUAAUAGCUCACUGGUCGAGUCGGCCUGCGCGGAAGAUGUAACGGGGCUAAACCAUGCACCGAAGCUGCGGCAGCGACACUCAGGUGUUGUUGGGUAGGGGAGCGUUCUGUAAGCCUGUGAAGGUGGCCUGUGAGGGUUGCUGGAGGUAUCAGAAGUGCGAAUGCUGACAUAAGUAACGAUAAAGCGGGUGAAAAGCCCGCUCGCCGGAAGACCAAGGGUUCCUGUCCAACGUUAAUCGGGGCAGGGUGAGUCGACCCCUAAGGCGAGGCCGAAAGGCGUAGUCGAUGGGAAACGGGUUAAUAUUCCCGUACUUGGUGUUACUGCGAAGGGGGGACGGAGAAGGCUAUGUUGGCCGGGCGACGGUUGUCCCGGUUUAAGCGUGUAGGUGUGUGUUCCAGGUAAAUCCGGUUCACUUUAACACUGAGGCGUGAUGACGAGGCGCUACGGUGCUGAAGCAACAAAUGCCCUGCUUCCAGGAAAAGCCUCUAAGCAUCAGGUAACAUCAAAUCGUACCCCAAACCGACACAGGUGGUCAGGUAGAGAAUACCAAGGCGCUUGAGAGAACUCGGGUGAAGGAACUAGGCAAAAUGGUGCCGUAACUUCGGGAGAAGGCACGCUGACACGUAGGUGAAGUGAUUUACUCAUGGAGCUGAAGUCAGUCGAAGAUACCAGCUGGCUGCAACUGUUUAUUAAAAACACAGCACUGUGCAAACACGAAAGUGGACGUAUACGGUGUGACGCCUGCCCGGUGCCGGAAGGUUAAUUGAUGGGGUCAGCGCAAGCGAAGCUCCUGAUCGAAGCCCCGGUAAACGGCGGCCGUAACUAUAACGGUCCUAAGGUAGCGAAAUUCCUUGUCGGGUAAGUUCCGACCUGCACGAAUGGCGUAAUGAUGGCCAGGCUGUCUCCACCCGAGACUCAGUGAAAUUGAACUCGCUGUGAAGAUGCAGUGUACCCGCGGCAAGACGGAAAGACCCCGUGAACCUUUACUAUAGCUUGACACUGAACAUUGAGCCUUGAUGUGUAGGAUAGGUGGGAGGCUUUGAAGUGUGGACGCCAGUCUGCAUGGAGCCGACCUUGAAAUACCACCCUUUAAUGUUUGAUGUUCUAACGUGGACCCGUGAUCCGGGUUGCGGACAGUGUCUGGUGGGUAGUUUGACUGGGGCGGUCUCCUCCUAAAGAGUAACGGAGGAGCACGAAGGUUGGCUAAUCCUGGUCGGACAUCAGGAGGUUAGUGCAAUGGCAUAAGCCAGCUUGACUGCGAGCGUGACGGCGCGAGCAGGUGCGAAAGCAGGUCAUAGUGAUCCGGUGGUUCUGAAUGGAAGGGCCAUCGCUCAACGGAUAAAAGGUACUCCGGGGAUAACAGGCUGAUACCGCCCAAGAGUUCAUAUCGACGGCGGUGUUUGGCACCUCGAUGUCGGCUCAUCACAUCCUGGGGCUGAAGUAGGUCCCAAGGGUAUGGCUGUUCGCCAUUUAAAGUGGUACGCGAGCUGGGUUUAGAACGUCGUGAGACAGUUCGGUCCCUAUCUGCCGUGGGCGCUGGAGAACUGAGGGGGGCUGCUCCUAGUACGAGAGGACCGGAGUGGACGCAUCACUGGUGUUCGGGUUGUCAUGCCAAUGGCACUGCCCGGUAGCUAAAUGCGGAAGAGAUAAGUGCUGAAAGCAUCUAAGCACGAAACUUGCCCCGA
rnacentral:rRNA from 1 species